ensembl:lncRNA
GUUUUGCAGUUUGCACCUCUCCACGCUGCGUGCAUUCAUUAAAAUCAAUUGUUUGAAUGACCUCUUCUGGACCAUCAUUGUUUUACUCUCGUCCUCAAUUUCGAACCCGUAACAUUUGGUGCAUUUGGCCGAGGUUGAGGGAGAAAAGUUGGAGGUUGAGACCGAGAGGGUCCGAGGCGCUCGAACAAGCAGACACGAGUCAGUGGUCGAAGUGAGUGGACAUAAGCCGGCUUAUUCAAAGGUAAGGCACUACCUGUUGAAUUAUUUCCAAAAUGUGCCAGAUUGGACAUGAGAAAUUAAAGUCUACUUACUGAAAUUACUGGUAAAUGUCUCUUUUGAUUUUGGUGAAAAUCUCAUGAGAAGUUGAAGUUGAAGUAAGGAAUAAGAAAAAGAGUAAAAGUGAGUUAGAGUCUCACUAAAGGUACCGGGUUAAAGUCCCAAAGGAAAAGAGAAUAAGAGAAAAUAAGUAAAGAGUAAAGAAUAAGUGUAUUUAAAGCAGUUGGACUGCAGAGUGAAGUUAGAGUAUAGGUUAUUGGCGAAGAGUUUGUGACAUUAAAGUCUCAAUUGAUUAUAAAGCCGGGCUUGGACACCGAUAUGGUGGGUUUGUGAUUUUCGGGGUGUCUUCAAAAUAAUUAAAUUGUAUAGAACGGGACUCUGGGAGUCUAACAAGUGCAUUUUUGUCGGAAGGUGACGCUUCCAAGUUGUCGGUGACGAUCGACAUUUCCUCGGGGAGAGAUAGUUCACUUGGCAAGUGUGGAGAACUACGACACUCCAAAAUAGCCACUGACUGGGUCAGUUUACCGUCCGGGGCGGUGGUGUGCACUUUUUUGGUUAGUAGAAACCGGGUUUCGGGCGUCUACCUUUUGACUUAAAACUUCGGGGAAGCCUGGGAUGUGAAGUGUCCCCAAAACAGGGCUUUUCGGCAGGGGUUGAGUUGGUUGACGCUUUUAAAUUGUGUUAGGGCAUUAGAUAUGUGACCACGGCCCGGGGCCGGGACUGGUUAAAUUGAUCAUAAAAAACUCAGGGAGUUUGUCCCUUGGAGGGUUAAGUUAAAGUUUUGUCUAAAUUCGGUAGGUUCUGCAAUUUCAGGCCUUGUAAAUAUUUUUAAGAUAUCAGACGUCUCUGUGUUAUAAUUUUUAUGUUUGUAUAUAGGCUCUGUCUGCCACGGGCACUGCAGCAGGCUGUUUAUUUUGAGAGUGUGUCUGUGUUUAUGUAAAUGAGAUGCCUGUGACUUAUUUAGAGUGACAUUUCCUGUUUACUAAUGAGUGGCUAAUGACUGACUGCAGAGCCAGGGUUAAGGACGACUUCAAUCUGUGUUUUAAGGGAAGAAAUGCAGUUUAUGUUUAUUAUAUUUGUGUGACUGUUGUUGAUUAUGAUAAGUAUUUCAUGAUAACUGUAGAAUAUGAGUAUGGGGUUUGCUUGACACGUGUCUGUACUAGGUAAAACUGUGUAAAACUGAUAGGAAGUUUAUAGGGACUGCUACACAUGGCUGAUGCCUGUAUUUAAGACGCUGGAGUUGUUUAUUACAAUAUUUGUGUCAAUACAGGUGGGCGUCUUUCAACUUUGCAACCUUGAGUUCAGCAGCAGAAAAGUAGAUUAAAAGAAUUGGGAGAGAAUAAGCCAGUUUUUGGCUCGAAAUUGUGCGGCUGGAUCUCUCACUUUGUCCCUGAAGCGGAGAAGAAGUUCAAAGGACAGUUAAUCGCCUGAUGAAGACAGAUAGAACAUCGUGGACUUGAAUACAGCAGGCAAACGGCAGUGCCACUGAUCCAUUAACACUGAUGACGACUGACGACCAGCAGCAGCAUGUAAGACUAAUGCAACAUGUACUGUGAAAAUACAGGCUGGGCAGUUGAACAGUGGGAUAAAGAAUUGUGGAAGAGCACUGGACAUUGAGUGAUAUUUUGCCACGCUGGGACUUAAUCUGAAAGAAAAGACUGUAAAGAAACAGAGAAGAAGACAGCAGCUGAGUUGAGACUGUGUUUGCUGGAGCUUUGAAGCCCGAAUAGGACAUUGUGCAGAGAGGACCAGUGAGAGAUGAAGCUGGACGAGUUUGACUGCGAGAAUAUAGGAUAUAAUUGGAAUGAAAAUUGAAGCCUGAACUCAUGAAUUGUUUAGGGAUGUCCACCACCGCAUAACAAAGAGGUAAACAUUAGAAAAGGUAAGAAUAAUGAACGAAGAUAAUUGUCAUUACCUUAAUGAAUAGAAAACACACAUACAAAUUGUUACAUGUGAGAUUAUUUUUGAAAUGAAUCAGAAGUGAGAUAGUUUGAAUCUAAAGCUCAGUGGUGAAAUGCAUAAAUUAAAUAUGAAUAUAUAGGAUGCAAUGAAGAAACAGCUUACACGUAGUGUACAGUAACAUGAAUACAUCGCAAGGCAACGAAGAACUCAAUGAAUUAAUUUAAUUUAAUGAAGAAGCAGUUUACACCCAAUUAACAUAAAAUGCAGGGAAGAACACGCUUACAUGCCUGGCAUAAUUGGUGUUUCUGAUCGGAGAUAGAGAAAUGGGUUAUUUAACCACUGGUGAUAAUAAUGAAAAUGUCUUAGUUUUGUUAUUUUCAGGAGUAAAGCAGACUUGGA